AACGAACGCUGGCGGCAUGCCUAACACAUGCAAGUCGAACGAGACCUUCGGGUCUAGUGGCGCACGGGUGCGUAACGCGUGGGAACCUGCCUUUAGGUUCGGAAUAACUCAGAGAAAUUUGAGCUAAUACCGGAUGAUGUCUUCGGACCAAAGAUUUAUCGCCUUUAGAUGGGCCCGCGUUGGAUUAGCUAGUUGGUGGGGUAAAGGCCUACCAAGGCGACGAUCCAUAGCUGGUCUGAGAGGAUGAUCAGCCACACUGGGACUGAGACACGGCCCAGAUUCCUACGGGAGGCAGCAGUGGGGAAUAUUGGACAAUGGGCGAAAGCCUGAUCCAGCAAUGCCGCGUGAGUGAUGAAGGCCUUAGGGUUGUAAAGCUCUUUUACCCGAGAUGAUAAUGACAGUAUCGGGAGAAUAAGCUCCGGCUAACUCCGUG
rnacentral:rRNA from 1 species